AAUCAACGCUGGCGGCGUGCCUCAGACAUGCAAGUCGAACGCGAAAUCCCGAGCAAUCGGGAGAGUAGAGUGGCGCACGGGUGAGUAACACGUAGGUAAUCUACCUUCGGAUGGGGAAUAACAACCGGAAACGGUUGCUAAUACCGCAUAAUGCAGCGGCACCUAAUGGUGACAGUUGUUAAAGCGGGGGAUCGAAAGACCUCGCGUCUGAAGAGGAGCCUGCGGCGGAUUAGCUAGUUGGUAAGGUAAUGGCUUACCAAGGCAACGAUCCGUAACCGGCCUGAGAGGGCGGUCGGUCACACUGACACUGACAUACGGGUCAGACUCCUACGGGAGGCAGCAGUCGGGAAUUUUGGGCAAUGGGCGAAAGCCUGACCCAGCAACGCCGCGUGAAGGAUGAAAUCCCUCGGGAUGUAAACUUCGCAAGAACGGGAAGAAUAAGCCGGUGUAAAUAUCACCGGUGAUGACGGUACCGUUUGUAAGCUCCGGCUAACUCCGUGCCAGCCGCCGCCGUAAC
rnacentral:rRNA from 1 species